AUUGAACGCUGGCGGCAGGCCUAACACAUGCAAGUCGAGCGGAUGAGGAAAGCUUGCUUUUCGAUUCAGCGGCGGACGGGUGAGUAAUGCCUAGGAAUCUGCCUGUUAGUGGGGGAUAACUCGGGGAAACUCGGGCUAAUACCGCAUACGUCCUACGGGAGAAAGUGGGGGAUCUUCGGACCUCACGCUAACAGAUGAGCCUAGGUCGGAUUAGCUAGUAGGUGAGGUAAUGGCUCACCUAGGCGACGAUCCGUAACUGGUCUGAGAGGAUGAUCAGUCACACUGGAACUGAGACACGGUCCAGACUCCUACGGGAGGCAGCAGUGGGGAAUAUUGGACAAUGGGCGAAAGCCUGAUCCAGCCAUGCCGCGUGUGUGAAGAAGGUCUUCGGAUUGUAAAGCACUUUAAGUUGGGAGGAAGGGUAUUCACCUAAUACGUGGGUACUUUGACGUUACCAACAGAAUAAGCACCGGCUAACUCUGUGCCAGCAGCCGCGGUAAGAC
rnacentral:rRNA from 1 species